UACGUAGGGUCCGAGCGUUGUCCGGAAUUACUGGGCGUAAAGAGCUCGUAGGUGGUUUGUCGCGUUGUUCGUGAAAACUCACAGCUUAACUGUGGGCGUGCGGGCGAUACGGGCAGACUGUAGUACUGCAGGGGAGACUGGAAUUCCUGGUGUAGCGGUGGAAUGCGCAGAUAUCAGGAGGAACACCGGUGGCGAAGGCGGGUCUCUGGGCAGUAACUGACGCUGAGGAGCGAAAGCGUGGGGAGCGAACAGG
rnacentral:rRNA from 1 species